UACGUGGGGUGCAAGCGUUGUUCGGAAUUACUGGGCGUAAAGCGUGUGUAGGCGGCUCGUUAAGUCUGAUGUGAAAGCCCUGGGCUUAACUCAGGAAUUGCAUCGGAAACUAACAAGCUGGAGUCCGGGAGAGGGUAGUGGAAUUCCUGGUGUAGAGGUGAAAUUCGUAGAUAUCAGGAGGAACACCGGUGGCGAAGGCGGCUACCUGGACCGGUACUGACACUGAGACACGAAAGCGUGGGGAGCAAACAGG
rnacentral:rRNA from 1 species